UGGAAUUAUCUACCAAAACUCUUCUUUCGACGACGGGGAUUAAUAAAAAUUAAAAAAAAAAAAAAAUGGCGAAUUCCACUACAUCGACUCGAUCCUUGGCGGUAUCGUCUGCGAAUAAUGAAGCGCUUCUGUCGAAAUAAUUGCCAGGGUCGUUGAACUCUUCAGCUAAAGAACGCUCUAGGAAAAUCUGCCUAUCGCACCUACAGGAAUUAAUUCCCUAAGUAGUCUAAUUCGUAAAAAAAAUUCCUCCGAAUAGAGGAAAUUUUUCAUGUUAUUUGAAUCUUAUUUCUGCGGAACUGUAGUUUGGGUAAGUAACACUGGGUCAGGGUUCUCCUUCGAUAAAAAAAAAAAAAAAGGAAGAAAAAUCAGUCUAGCCGGAAUUUGUUGCCAGCAGCGUCGGAUCUCUUUUAAUUAUAAGCUUUGCCAACACUUAUCGGUAGUAAAGAGAAAGAAACUUAACCAAUUUGUCGGUUGUCGCGCAGCCCUCUCCACAAGGUCGUUAUUUCGGUGAUUUUUUUGAGGAGACAAAAGCUGCUCUAGGUGGCGUUGCAGUGUCGCAUGGGGUGAGGAGGAGCCCGCUUCUCUUUUCUGCCAUUGGUCACGGAUCGUUCCCAUGACGACACACAUGUCAGCGCCGUCUGGCGACAGAUUAAAUUUGUCAAUAACCGGCAACUUCCACUCAUUUAGGAGUUAAUGAAGAAUAUUUCAUAGCGGAAAAACCCCAAAGUGGAUUUGCACUCGCUUUUUCGCGAUAUUCUAGCUCAUCGUGCGAUUUAUUUAAACGUAGCUCUUCUUUCUCAGUUUCUCUGACGUUUCUGCAGCUUUUUCGUCUUGUAAUGGUUAUCUCACUUUUUAAGAUAAUGCUGAAAACCCGAACGAAUUGUCUAUCGAAAGGAAGGUUUUGUUAAUCCGACCGCUGUUCUUUUUCUGCAUUCGUCAAAUUCUGCACAAGCAAAAGUUUUUAAUUUCGAUAUUAUCGUGGAGAAAAGGUGUGUCGACUCGAAACAGUUAGGGUCAAUCGGGUGGCACGAACUGGUCUGUAGAAUGGUUUUUAAAGAGCGGAUUAAUGGCACAUGACUGGGUUUGGGGUGGAUCUGGACGAAAUGACGUAAUAACAGGUUGCAAGUGCUUGUCCCGAUACACCUUCACCACCCAUCGUCCUGGUGCGGUUUCCAUUCGCCCUCCGGCUCUUUCUCCGAAUAUUUUUAAUCGUCGGAAAGGAGGAGGAAGAGCCGAUCAGGAACUAGUGCCAAGUGUUGGGGGCAGGGGGUAGGAGUGGCUUUGUUGACACGGUGUAGCUGCAACCCAUUUGGCGCUCAAUUCUCGACUGGAAGACGAGAUCAAUAAACUGCAGCGUAUCUUGGGGAACUCCACUCUCUCCCGCCUCCGACACGAUGUAAUUUAUGGCAGGCAGUGAUCAUGUCGUUAUCUGUGUUCCAGAAAAAAAAAGCGCCCCUAAUCCGAACAUUAGUUCAGUUCCGCCAUUAUGCUACACUGAUUUGUACUUCGCUUAUAAAUUCCCUUAAGGCCAUCAACCGUAUUAGAUUGAAUCGACCAAUUAACAAAUCGAAGAACCACAAAGAUUAAAAAUCGGAACAUAAAUGGAUUAUUUUUUAGAAGGAAACCAAAGCCGUUUCCAACCAAAAUGUGGAAUGAUAGUUUGAGAACAGCGCAGAGGCUGUUGCCUUAAAGUGACCCGAGUGUUGGUCACGUCAUGUUGGAGAAGAGAGAUAGUAGUCAUUAUUUCUUCUUGAGCAACUUAGAAAGAACGGGCAGAAGAGGGAGGACCAAUAGCGGUGACAAAUUUCGCAC
rnacentral:lncRNA from 1 species